UAUUAGUCAGCGGAGGAAAAGAAACUAACCAAGGAUUCCCCUAGUAGCGGCGAGCGAAKAGGGAAAAGCCCAGCACCAAGGGCCGGSGGCGGCGUCCCCGCAGUCGUCCGGCCGAUGCGGUGUUUAGGAACUUCCAGAACCGUCGGGAGCCGAAUCUAAAGUCCUCAUGAAUGUGGCCCGAUUGCCCGAAGAGGGUGUCAGGCCCGUAGGAUAGGCGCCCGGUGGCCCACGGAAGCUUCCCUAGAGUCGGGUUGCUUCAGCGUGCAGCCCUAAGCAGGUGUAAACUCCAUCUAAGGCUAAAUACGAUAGAGACCGAU
rnacentral:rRNA from 1 species